rnacentral:rRNA from 1 species
AUGAACGCUGGCGGCGUGCUUAACACAUGCAAGUCGAACGAGCGAGUGGCGGACGGGUGAGUAACGCGUGGGAAUCUGCCCUCAGGAGGGGAUAACGGCCGGAAACGGCCGCUAAUACCCCAUAUGCCGGAGGUGAAAGAAUUUGCCUGAGGAUGAGCCCGCGUCUGAUUAGCUAGUUGGUGGGGUAAUCCACCAAGGCGACGAUCAGUAGCUGGUCUGAGAGGAUGAUCAGCCACACUGGGACUGAGACACGGCCCAGACUCCUACGGGAGGCAGCAGUGGGGAAUUUUCCGCAAUGGGCGAAAGCCUGACGGAGCAAGCCGCGUGAGGGAUGAAGGCCUCUGGGCUGUAAACCUCUUUUCUCAAGGAAGUGACGGUACUUGAGGAAUAAGCCACGGCUAAUUCCGUGCCAGCAGCCGCGGUAAUACGGGAGAUGCAAGCGUUAUCCGGAAUUAUUGGGCGUAAAGCGUCCGCAGGCGGCCUGUAAGUCUGUCGUUAAAGCGAGCUUAACUCAUUUCAGCGAUGGAAACUAGGCUUGAGUUGGUAGGGGCAGAGGGAAUUCCCGGUGUAGCGGUGAAAUGCGUAGAUAUCGGGAAGAACACCAGUGGCGAAGGCGCUCUGCUGGGCCAAACUGACGCUCAUGGACGAAAGCCAGGGGAGCGAAAGGGAUUAGAUACCCCUGUAGUCCUGGCCGUAAACGAUGAACACUAGGUGUCGGGGGAAUCGACCCCCUCGGUGUCGUAGCUAACGCGUUAAGUGUUCCGCCUGGGGAGUACGCACGCAAGUGUGAAACUCAAAGGAAUUGACGGGGGCCCGCACAAGCGGUGGAGUAUGUGGUUUAAUUCGAUGCAACGCGAAGAACCUUACCAGGGUUUGACAUCCUGCGAAUCCCCUGGAAACGGGGGAGUGCCUUCGGGAGCGCAGAGACAGGUGGUGCAUGGCUGUCGUCAGCUCGUGUCGUGAGAUGUUGGGUUAAGUCCCGCAACGAGCGCAACCCACGUCUUUAGUUGCCAGCAUUCAGUUGGGCACUCUAGAGAGACCGCCGGUGAUAAACCGGAGGAAGGUGUGGAUGACGUCAAGUCAUCAUGCCCCUUACAUCCUGGGCUACACACGUACUACAAUGCUACGGACAAAGGGUUGCAAGCUCGCGAGAGUUAGCUAAUCCCAUAAACCGUGGCUCAGUUCAGAUCGUAGGCUGCAACUCGCCUACGUGAAGGAGGAAUCGCUAGUAAUCGCAGGUCAGCAUACUGCGGUGAAUACGUUCCCGGGCCUUGUACACACCGCCCGUCACACCAUGGAAGUUGGCCAUGCCCGAAGUCGUUACUCCAACCCU